AGAAUCAACGCUGGCGGCGUGCCUAACACAUGCAAGUCGAACGAGAAAGUGGAGCAAUCCAUGAGUAAAGUGGCGCACGGGUGAGUAACACGUGACUAACCUACCCUUGAGUGGGGGAUAACCUAGGGAAACCUGGGCUAAUACCGCAUAAUACCUUCGGGUCAAAGGAGCAAUUCGCUUAAGGAGGGGGUCGCGGCCGAUUAGUUAGUUGGCGGGGUAAUGGCCCACCAAGACUGUGAUCGGUAUCCGGCCUGAGAGGGCGCACGGACACACUGGAACUGAAACACGGUCCAGACUCCUACGGGAGGCAGCAGUGGGAAUUUUGCGCAAUGGGGAAACCCUGACGCAGCAACGCCGCGUGGAGGAUGAAGUCCCUUGGGACGUAAACUCCUUUCGAUCGGGACGAUUAUGACGGUACCGGAAGAAGAAGCCCCGGCUAACUUCGUGCCAGCAGCCGC
rnacentral:rRNA from 1 species